AGAGUUUGAUCAUGGCUCAGGACGAACGCUGGCGGCGUGCCUAACACAUGCAAGUCGAGCGGAGGUACAAUGAGAGCAAUCGAGAUGUACUUUAGCGGCGGACGGGUGAGUAACGCGUGAGCAACCUGCCUAUCACAGGGGGAUAAGGCGGCGAAAGCCGCUCUAAUACCGCAUGAGACCCUCAAAGCGAUGCAAUGGGGGUGAAAGGAGCGAUCCGGUGAGAGAUGGGCUCGCGUCCGAUUAGGUAGUUGGUAGGGUAAGGGCCUACCAAGCCAAUGAUCGGUAGCCGGCCUGAGAGGGUGAACGGCCACAUUGGAACUGAGAGACGGUCCAAACUCCUACGGGAGGCAGCAGUGGGGAAUAUUGGGCAAUGGGCGGAAGCCUGACCCAGCAACGCCGCGUGAGGGAAGAAGGUUUUCGGAUUGUAAACCUCUGUUCUUGGGGAAGAGGAAGAGACGGUACCCAAGGAGGAAGCCCCGGCUAACUACGUGCCAGCAGCCGCGGUAAUACGUAGGGGGCGAGCGUUGUCCGGAAUGAUUGGGCGUAAAGGGCGCGCAGGCGGCCUGUCAAGUCAGUAGUGGAAGUCCAUUUUUCAAGGAUGGAAGUGCUAUAGAAACUGAUGGGCUUGAGUGCAGGAGAGGUUAUCGGAAUUCCCGGUGUAGCGGUGAAAUGCGUAGAGAUCGGGAGGAACACCAGUGGCGAAGGCGGGUAACUGGACUGCAACUGACGCUGAGGCGCGAAAGUGUGGGGAGCAAACAGGAUUAGAUACCCUGGUAGUCCACACUGUAAACGAUGAAUGCUAGGUGUAGGGGGUAUCGACCCCUUCUGUGCCGAAGUAAACACAAUAAGCAUUCCGCCUGGGGAGUACGGUCGCAAGAUUAAAACUCAAAGGAAUUGACGGGGGCCCGCACAAGCAGCGGAGCAUGUGGUUUAAUUCGAAGC
rnacentral:rRNA from 1 species